AUAAGUGAAUUUUUAUGUUACUUUUCAGUCGGAGAUUUUUAAAUCUGAUCACUUAAGUGUCUUUUUAUUUGGAUAUUUGAAUUAUUAAACAACAAUAACAUUAAUUGUUGCCUAGGUCAUGUCAGUAACAGACAAACACGGAGUCUACGCCAUUUUGUGUGUCACUCUCGGUGCUGUUGGCUCGGUCUUUCAUAUCAUUGGCCUCUCGACACCCACGUGGUCUGCGCUGGCUUAUCUAGGUCAAAGAGGCUCGAAAGGAUUGUGGGAAUACUGUGUUGAAGAGGAGUGCAAAUACUACGCAGUGAAAGAUGACAGUUUAAAAGUGUGUGAGGCCUUCUCCAUUCUGGGCAUGCUGGCCAGUUUUUUGGCCGUGACGGUCUCAGUGUGCCAGGUGUACUGGGCGGUUCUAGACAUAC